rnacentral:rRNA from 1 species
GACGAACGCUGGCGGCGUGCUUAACACAUGCAAGUCGAACGGAAAGGCCCUGCUUUUGUGGGGUGCUCGAGUGGCGAACGGGUGAGUAACACGUGAGUAACCUGCCCUUGACUUUGGGAUAACUUCAGGAAACUGGGGCUAAUACCGGAUAGGAGCUCCUGCUGCAUGGUGGGGGUUGGAAAGUUUCGGCGGUUGGGGAUGGACUCGCGGCUUAUCAGCUUGUUGGUGGGGUAGUGGCUUACCAAGGCUUUGACGGGUAGCCGGCCUGAGAGGGUGACCGGCCACAUUGGGACUGAGAUACGGCCCAGACUCCUACGGGAGGCAGCAGGGGGAAAUAUUGCACAAUGGGCGGAAGCCUGAUGCAGCAACGCCGCGUGCGGGAUGACGGCCUUCGGGUUGUAAACCGCUUUCGCCUGUGACGAAGCGGGAGUGACGGUAAUGGGUAAAGAAGCACCGGCUAACUACGUG